rnacentral:sRNA from 1 species
AAAAUUGUAGUUUUAAGGUUUUAACUAUACAGUUAACACACGGUUGACUGUACGGUUACUACAGUUUUGAUACGGUUACGGUUAAUUGACGGUUACGAUUAAUAUAUUUUUUAAUUAAUCUAUUUUACGGUUAAUGGUUACGGUUACAGUCCAAUUACUGUUUAAAAACGGUCCGGUUAUGAUU